rnacentral:rRNA from 1 species
GAACGCGUUGGCCCAACUGAUUGAACGUGCUUGCACGGACUUGACGUUGGUUUACCAGCGAGUGGCGGACGGGUGAGUAACACGUAGGUAACCUGCCCCAAAGCGGGGGAUAACAUUUGGAAACAGAUGCUAAUACCGCAUAACAAUUUGAAUCGCAUGAUUCAAAUUUAAAAGAUGGCUUCGGCUAUCACUUUGGGAUGGACCUGCGGCGCAUUAGCUUGUUGGUAGGGUAACGGCCUACCAAGGCUGUGAUGCGUAGCCGAGUUGAGAGACUGAUCGGCCACAAUGGAACUGAGACACGGUCCAUACUCCCACGGGAGGCAGCAGUAGGGAAUCUUCCACAAUGGGCGCAAGCCUGAUGGAGCAACACCGCGUGAGUGAAGAAGGGUUUCGGCUCGUAAAGCUCUGUUGUUAGAGAAGAACGUGCGUGAGAGCAACUGUUCACGCAGUGACGGUAUCUAACCAGAAAGUCACGGCUAACUACGUGCCAGCAGCCGCGGUAAUACGUAGGUGGCAAGCGUUAUCCGGAUUUAUUGGGCGUAAAGCGAGCGCAGGCGGUUUGAUAAGUCUGAUGUGAAAGCCUUUGGCUUAACCAAAGAAGUGCAUCGGAAACUGUCAGACUUGAGUGCAGAAGAGGACAGUGGAACUCCAUGUGUAGCGGUGGAAUGCGUAGAUAUAUGGAAGAACACCAGUGG